rnacentral:rRNA from 1 species
GAUGAACGCUGGCGGCGUGCUUAACACAUGCAAGUCGAACGAGAAGUGGAGACGGAAACCUUCGGGCGGAAGACUUUACUUCGAGUGGCGGACGGGUGAGUAACGCGUGGGUAACCUGCCUCAUACAGGGGGAUAACAGUUGGAAACGACUGUUAAUACCGCAUAAGACCACAGCACCGCAUGGUGCGGGGGUAAAAACUCCGGUGGUAUGAGAUGGACCCGCGUUCGAUUAGCCAGUUGGCGGGGUAACGGCCCACCAAAGCGACGAUCGAUAGCCGAUCUGAGAGGAUGACCGGCCACAUUGGGACUGAGACACGGCCCAGACUCCUACGGGAGGCAGCAGUAGGGUAUAGUGCACAAUGGGGGAAACCCUGAUGCAGCGACGCCGCGUGAGUGAAGAAGUAUUUCGGUAUGUAAAGCUCUAUCAGCAGGGAAGAAAAUGACAGUACCUGAGUAAGAAGCCCCGGCUAACUACGUG